rnacentral:lncRNA from 1 species
CCUAAAGUUUUUUUUCAUAUUUUCGCAAUCUUCAAAAAAUUCCGCAGGCCACGUCUUUCACUUGUUUAAGCUCAAAUUUCAUGUGGUUACUUCUUGAGUGCUCCUAAGUAAAAUAAAAAUAUCAAAAAAAUAAAAAGAAUUGCAGGGUUUCGGAUCGUGUUGUUCGCAAGGUGGAUUGAUUUGUGUCUCGUUUCCACCAAAUCGAUAAUUACUAGAACCUUUCGGA